CCGCCGCCGCCGCCCUACCGCCCCGCUGCCGCCGCCUCUCCCUCCUCGGUCGCCCUCCCUCCGUCGCGACCGACGCUCAGGCGAGCCUCCGCUCCGGCCUCCACCACCGCGACGUCCCCGUCUCCGCUCCAGGAUCAGCCGCGACCGACGCGCCCCAUCUCCGCUCCGGGAACCGCCGAACCCGAUGCCGCCUCCGCUGCCCCGACCGACGCGUCGCCGCCUCCACUCCCGAUUCCGUCGCCCCGACCAAACGCGCCCCCGCCUCCUCUCCGGGAGCCACCGCGGGGGCUCAUCCUCCAGCGUCGUCGUUGCUGCGUCCUCACCAUCUGCUACGAGGCGCAACCCCGCCUCCACGACCCUGUCUCCGGCUGCGUCGCCCACAUCUUCGCCCUCCAACAGCAGGCGUACUACUUACUUGCCACUCUAUAAUCGACCACAAAAUCCAUGGUCUGCUGCUUCUGCUUGUGCAUGCAUGCAUGCAUAUCAAUCGAUGCGUAUGGAUCUGGAUCGUCUUGUCCUCAGCUCAUCCAGCUAGGACAUGACGAUUUUUCCGGAGUAGGCGUGUUUCUUUCUCGAGAAAGGCAAAGGUCUAUUUCCUGGAGGAAACCAACGAGCAGUGCGAAAAGGCUAACACGCCAGGCUUCAGUAAACGUACACAAUUAGCAAAAGCAAGGGACCUUUCUUUUCUUUCAGACUAGAAACCUUUUCUCUGGGUGUCUGGCUCACUGAUAGCCACACAAAGAGACCAUUGCUACUACGUCCCUCAUUGUUCUAUCCACCGACGUGCUCACUCAUCUUUUCAAUGAUAAUAAGAUCAAUGGUACUGGGAAGAGAGAAGAGAGCCAGAGGAGUAGGAUGAGGAAGUACAGGUCGCAGCUGGAGCAGGAAGUCAAGAAAUUAAAGAGGCAGCUGGAAGAAGAGAUUGAUUUGCAUGUUGGGUUGGUAGAUGCUGUUACUCAAAAUGCUGCACCUGAAGUUUUCUGUGAAGAUUCUACAUAUGACUGCAUGUAUAUAAAAUAUUUACAUAUGCCAAUAUGUAGAAAGUUUGAACAACUAGAUUGGGAGGCUUUUCUAUAUAGCGACAACAACAACAACUGGAUUGGGAGACUUUUCUAGAUCGUCGGCCUUGUAAGCAGCCUGCUAGAGCAUGGUAAAUCAAAACUUUGCCAAAAGAAGACGAAGGACAUGACAAACCUGAAUAAUCUGUUUUCUACAUGCCCAUGAAUGCUCGUCGACUACCGCUCUCUCUUUCAUCUGUCUCCGUGACCCUAAGACAUGCACUGAGGUUGUCCUCCACUGCUGGCCAACCCUGAGCUCUGCUCUUAUAUAUAUCUCUACUCGGUAUCUUUAGUACAGCGUGCCAUAUGGAAUUAUUUUGUAAAUAUUUCGAGAAAUGCCAUGGGCCCAUGGCCAUGAGCCAUGAUGUUAGUAGGCUGCAAUAUAUGCAGUAAGAAGUAUGUUGCUAUGUGAACUUAUGGUUUGCAAAUGCCCUGUAAACCCAUAUGUUAUGAAUUGUGGUAGAGUUGUUUGGAUUGGUGAAAUCAAGUUUGUAUCGAAUUAUGAAGGGACAAUUACAUAAUUGGCUAUACUUUAGAGUCUAUUUGUAGAUUUAGUUCUUUUUUUUCACUUUGCAGAUUUAGCUCUAUUUUUUAAAAAUAAAGCUUCUGUUUGGCCCGACCUACUACGUUCAGGUCACGUGAGUAGUGUAAAUAAAAAAAGAAAAAAAAUAAACACGCAAAAUGACAACAAUGCCCAUCUCCACUCUCAAACACUAUCUGCACUUUCCUCACCCCACCCCAGUUGGAACCGAGCUGAAGGGCGGCCGCCGUCCGGUGGGUUGAUGAGCGGCGGCGCUGCGGCGAGCGGGCCAGGCGUCCGCGGCAUGGCCAGGCGCACGGCGGCCGGGUGGUGAGCAGGCGUGGGGCGUCGGCCAACGUGUGUGGCGUGCGGCAGGCUGGCGCAGGCGACGGGGAGACGCGUGGCCGGGCGCAUGGCGGGUAGGCGCGCGGCGUCGGCCAGCGAAUGCGGCCUCACGGAGGGUGCAACCGCCUAGCUGCUCGUCG